UCUGACCCCGCCAGCCACGCCUCCGCGCGCCGCCGGCCGGCGCGGGCGGGGGUCGCUGCGCUCCAGUGCGUCUGCGCGGCCGCCGAGGCUCGGCUGCUAAACUCCAGGAGUGCGCUCCAGUGCGUCUGCGCAGCCGCCGCGGCUCCGGGUUGCUAGGCUCCAGGCCUGCGCUCCAGUGCGUCUGCGCGGCCGCCGCGGCUCUGGGCUACUGAGCUCCAGGGCUGCGCUCCAGUGCGUCUGCGCAGCCGCAGCGGCUCCGGGUUGCUAGGUUCCAGGGCUGCGCUCCAGUGCGUCUGCGCAGCCGCAGAGGCUCCGGGUUGCUAGGUUCCAGGGCUGCGCUCCAGUGCGUCUGCGCGGCCGCCGCGGCUCCGGGCUGCAGAGCUGCAGGGCUGCAGGGCUCCGGGGCUGCGCUCCAGUGCGGCUCCGGGCUGCAUGGCUCCAGGGAGACCCCGCCCGCCCGCGCUCUCCGCCUUCCUCCAGGGCCUUCUGAAACUGUAUCCAUCAAGGUGCUACAAGGUCUGCACUCACCAUCUUGGGAUCCCCACCCACACCUCACCCGUCACCUGCAGCUGGGUGUGUGAGCAGCCCCAGGGAGAGGCCCGUGCGGCAAAGAACCCAAGCCUCCUGCCUGCCUGCCAGCAGUCACGGCACCUGGCCAAGUGCCCGGCGUUGGGAGGUGUUCGGUGUAGUAUGCUGAGAGCCAUGUUUUCUGGCACUGGAAACAAGACACCUGGUUGUGCAGUGUGUGCAGUGCACAAACACGCUGGGCCAAGGGGCUACCUACUGAAAACAACCAACCAACCAUUUUGA
rnacentral:lncRNA from 1 species